GACUAAAGAAUUUCCCUUGUACCCCUGAGAGCCUGUGUCAAGUGCUGUCAAUGGAUUUCCCUUUUGAGGUAACACAAGCAUUGUCUUUAUUGCUCUGAUGGGAUUGCAGGACACAGGGAGCUUGGUUACCCAAUGUCUUAGGAUAUCCUCUGACUUUGCUGUGUCAAAGCAUCAGAAAAGGGCUGAAAGCUGAUUCCUGGAAAAAGAUGUGCCGCUGUCCUUCAGAGCCUCAGCUCUGCUCUGUUAGAGACAUCAGAAUGCCAAAGCUGCUCAUCUGUGUCCCUCAUUUUACAGGUGAAGAGGUGGGGGCCCAAGGAGGGACAAGGCUUUCAUUCCUAGGUCCUUCUGGGGUGCCUGUUUUCGGCCACAAGCCUGGCUGCCAUAGCUGACUGUAAAGUUGGGAGCUCCUGUGACGGACAGACCACAGGGGUUCAAACUCCUUAUCCUUCCUUCCUCCCAAGAGCAAAUGAUGGCUGGGGAUGGCAGUGCUUUCUGAACAGUGGUGUGGAGGCAGGGCGACCAACUUGUCCUGGUUUGUCCAGAACUUUCUCGAUUUAGCACCAAAAGUCUCAUGUCUCUAGAAGCUCCUCAGUUCUCAGCAACCUUUUAUCAUCCUCAGAAUCUACAGUUAUCCUCUCCAGCCUCAACACACAGACUUUCCUUUGCCCAUCGUACCCUUUAAAAUUCUGCCUAGUCACGCAGAAGUAUUUGCUUGAGCUUGAUAUAAUUUUGUUAAAAGGAUCACAGCUUCCCAAAUGAGGAAAUGGCAAAGGCUGAGUUGCCUUCAUUUCUGAGAGUCAAUUAAGAAGGUGGUAAGAACACCAUCUUUAUUUAUAACCCUAUGCCCCAGUGACAAUAAAUGCUUUUUAGAGAUGAGUCACUGAAUCACGGAAAAGAAAAUGUGGGACUGUAGGAGGUCUUCCCGUUGAGAAAAACUGAGUUUCCCAGAACAUAGCUUGCAGAUAAUUUAGGGGGAGGUCAGGCAGCCAACAAUGGUGUGGGGAACAGGGCUUCUUGACAGCCUGUUUUCCCUGUGUUCAGCAGUCCAGCAUCUUGGAGGGGCCUGUCCAGUUCUCCUGGUUUGUGCCCUGUGUGGAGAACAUUCCCCAUUACAGAGACAUCUGAGUACUGAAAAGUACAUGGGAUCUGGGGACAGAAGACCUGGGUUCACGUUGAAUUUGUGCUUCAUACUGCCUGGGUUUUGGGGGAGGCCCCCAGAGCUAGCCCUAGUGCCAUCUUAAACACCCUCAAUGGUGGGUAAGAGGGUGAAGUAGUGGGUAGGCAAGCACCCGGUAAACAGGAAAGUGCUGUUUAUGUUUUUAUUUUCUAAAAUUUAUAUUUCUGGGUCAUUUCUUCAUUUAGAGAAAUUGCAUGUGUGAGAAACAAGGAUUAUUUUUCCACUGGCAGUGAUCCAGGAAAGGCAGUUGGCCCAUUAGAGCGGCCCCCAUAUGCAUAGGCUCUCCUCGAAAUACAUGGCCCCAGAAGUCACUUUGGUCUCUGAUUUCCCCUUUUCUAGGUAGAUGGACUUCUCUUCUACCACAAGCAGACCCACUACAGCCCUGGAAGCACUCCUCUUGUGGGCUGGCUGCGCCCCUACAUGGUGUCAGAUGUUCUUGGAGUAGCCGUGCCAGCUGGCCCACUGACCACCAAGCCAGAAUAUGCUGGGCAGCAGCUCCAGCAGAUUAUUGAGCACAAGAGGAGCCAGGAAGGCAUGAAGGAGAAAGUCACACACAAGGCAUCUGAGAGUGGACACUAUGAGUUGGAACACCUGUCUACCCCCAAGCUGAAGAGCCCUCCCCAUGGCCUUGACCCCCCAGGGAGCCUCAUGGAAAACUAAACAGGGUGGCUCCUUGGGGAGUCACAGGAUGGGGCUUGGUCCCAGAAGGAAGGCUGGGGAGGAGGACAAUGACAACAAACAGGUGACUUCAUUUUAGAGUGGACUUUCCAAAGCCACUCCAGCUGGAAACAGCUUAUCUCCUAUCUGAAAUGCUGGCUCAGACAGUU
rnacentral:lncRNA from 1 species